rnacentral:rRNA from 1 species
AGAGUUUGAUCCUGGCUCAGGAUGAACGCAGGCGGUAUGCUUAACACAUGCAAGUCGAACGGACUCUUCGGAGUUAGUGGCGGACGGGUGAGUAACGCGUGAGAAUCUGCCUACAGAUUGGGGACAACGUCGGGAAACUGACGCUAAUACCGAAUGUGCCGAGAGGUGAAAGAUUUAUCGUCUGUAGAUGAGCUCGCGUCUGAUUAGCUAGUUGGGGCGGUAACGGCGCACCAAGGCGACGAUCAGUAACUGGUCUGAGAGGAUGACCAGUCACACUGGGACUGAGACACGGCCCAGACUCCUACGGGAGGCAGCAGUGGGGAAUUUUCCGCAAUGGGCGAAAGCCUGACGGAGCAAUACCGCGUGCGGGAGGACGCUUUUUGGAGUGUAAACCGCUUUUCUCAAGGAAGAUGAUGACGGUACUUGAGGAAUCAGCAUCGGCUAACUUCGUGCCAGCAGCCGCGGUAAUACGAGGGAUGCAAGCGUUAUCCGGAAUUAUUGGGCGUAAAGCGUUCGUAGGUGGCAAAUUAAGUCUGUUGUUAAAACGAGGAGCUUAACUCCAUAUCGGCAAUGGAAGCUGGUUAGCUAGAGUAUGGUAGGGGUAACAGGAAUUCCCAGUGUAGCGGUGAAAUGCGUAGAUAUUGGGAAGAACACCAGCGGCGAAAGCGUGUUACUGGGCCAUUACUGACACUGAGGGACGAAAGCUAGGGGAGCGAAAGGGAUUAGAUACCCCUGUAGUCCUAGCCGUAAACGAUGAGAACUAGGUGUUGCGCGUAUCGACCCGCGCGGUGCCGUAGCUAACGCGUUAAGUUCUCCGCCUGGGGAGUACGCACGCAAGUGUGAAACUCAAAGGAAUUGACGGGGGCCCGCACAAGCGGUGGAGUAUGUGGUUUAAUUCGAUGCAACGCGAAGAACCUUACCAGGGUUUGACAUCCUCGGAACUUUCUGGAAACAGAUUGGUGCCUUCGGGAACCGAGAGACAGGUGGUGCAUGGCUGUCGUCAGCUCGUGUCGUGAGAUGUUGGGUUAAGUCCCGCAACGAGCGCAACCCACGUUUUUAGUUGCCAGCAUUAAGUUGGGCACUCUAGAGAGACUGCCGGUGACAAACCGGAGGAAGGUGUGGAUGACGUCAAGUCAGCAUGCCCCUUACAUCCUGGGCUACACACGUACUACAAUGCUACGGACAAAGGGCAGCGAGCCAGCAAUGGUCUGCAAAUCCCAUAAACCGUAGCUCAGUUCAGAUUGCAGGCUGCAACUCGCCUGCAUGAAGGCGGAAUCGCUAGUAAUCGCAGGUCAGCAUACUGCGGUGAAUACGUUCCCGGGCCUUGUACACACCGCCCGUCACACCAUGGGAGUU